rnacentral:tRNA from 1 species
GGGCGAAUAGCUCAGCCGGGAGAGCACUUCCCUUACAAGGAAGGGGUCACAGGUUCGAGCCCUGUUUCGCCCA